UACGUAGGGGGCUAGCGUUGUCCGGAAUCAUUGGGCGUAAAGCGCGUGUAGGCGGCCCGGUAAGUCCGCUGUGAAAGUCGGGGGCUCAACCCUCGAAUGCCGGUGGAUACUGUCGGGCUAGAGUGCGGAAGAGGCGAGUGGAAUUCCUGGUGUAGCGGUGAAAUGCGCAGAUAUCAGGAGGAACACCGGUGGCGAAGGCGCCACUCUGGGCCACGACUGACGCUGAGGAGCGAAAGCAUGGGUAGCAAACAGG
rnacentral:rRNA from 1 species